CGCAGGGAUGUAAUGCACACAAUACACAUCAUUUUCAGUUUACACACUUUUUAAAAAUCUAUUUGUUUAGUAAUCUCUGUACCCACCAUGAGGCUCAAACUCACGACCCCAAGAUCAAGAGUCACAUGUUCUUCCGACUGAGCCAGCCAGGCACCCCAACACAAUUUGAUUAAUUAAAAUGGGUUAUAAGAAUUGUUAAGUAUAAUUCCAGUCAAAACAAUAAGACAAAGCAGGGUACUUUAGCAAAGCAAAUCAACAUGUUAAGAAAUAUUAAGGUUUAAAUUUUUUUAUUAAUUGAAAUAAGAAGAUCACCAUUAACUUAUUGAUGGAAUCUAUCAAACUUUAGACCCCUUUUGCAAAGAAGUAGGACAUUUAAAUACAACUGUAAAUUACGGGGGUGCCUGGGUGGCUCAGUUGUCGGUUAAGCAUCUGCCUUUGGCCCAGGUCAUGA